CUCUGUACUGUAACAUUCUAAAAAAUAGAUUCUGUUGUUUUUUCAUUUUUUUUGGAAUAGAAAUGGGGUAAAAACUGUAUGGUAAAUCCGGUUCAAUUUCUUGUUUUUUGAAAUGAACCGGACACUUUUUAGAUUUUGGAAUCCUUUUUUUGGAACAUGAAAAGCAAGCUUCUCACACUCAGAAUCGAUUCCAAACAAAAGGCGCAGAAUCAAGAGCCUCACUUAAGUAAGCAGGGGUAAAACUGAAAUUUGCGCUCAAAACAUAACAAUCCAUUGAAUUCAAGGUAUUGUAAACCCUAAACAUACUUUUCUCUUGGAACGAUCAGAGGAGAAGGAGAGGAAAGGAAAGCAAGAAGUCCCACUUCCUUCAUCGUCUUCGAUUUUCCGACGGCAAGCGAGAGCGAGGUCGAGGUCGAGGAUCUCUGGGUGUUCGACUCUGAAAUCUUUAGAUUACGGUAGAAAAUUUCAUGAUCAUCUUCUGAACUCUUGUUCUCAACCGGACAUUAUUCUUCAUAAUCAUAUCCACAAUAUCUAUGGGAAAUUUGAGUCUCUAAAAGAUGUUGGGAAGGUGUUCUAUGAAAUGCCCGAAAGAAAUAAGGUUUCUUGGACUUCAAUGAUUGGUGGCUAUUCGGAGAAUCAUGAAGAGGAGGAGGCGUUGAAAACAUAUUUAGAAAUGCGAUGAUCAGGUUCUCUGCCAGAUCACUUCAUCUCUGGAAGGAUAUUAAGAGCAUGAUUGGGUUUUAUUGAUGUUGAGCUCAGGAGGCAAUUGCAUGCCCAUGUCUUGAAUUUAGAAUUUGAGCGUCAUCUUAUUGCACAGAAUGCUCUAGUAGCAAUGUACACAAAGCUUGAUCAGAUUGAUGAUGCAUUAAUUGUCACUGAUAAGAUUGCAGAAAAGGAUUUAAUUUCAUGGGGUUAAAUGAUUUCUGGGCUCGCUCAGAAGGGUUUUGAGUUCUAUUUUUUGUGAUUUUUCAAAGAUAUGCUUUCUAUGGGUGUUUGUCAUCUAAAUAAAUAUAUUUUUGGAAGCA